rnacentral:rRNA from 1 species
AGUGAACGCUGGCGGCAGGCCUAACACAUGCAAGUCGAGCGGCAGCGCGGGGGCAACCCUGGCGGCGAGCGGCGGACGGGUGAGGAAUUCGUCGGAAUCUGCCUUUUUGUGGGGGAUAACGUAGGGAAACUUACGCUAAUACCGCAUACGUCCUACGGGAGAAAGUGGGGGACCGCAAGGCCUCACGCAGAAAGAUGAGCCGACGACCGAUUAGCUAGUUGGUGGGGUAAAGGCCCACCAAGGCGACGAUCGGUAGCUGGUCUGAGAGGAUGAUCAGCCACACUGGGACUGAGACACGACCCAGACUCCUACGGGAGGCAGCAGUGGGGAAUAUUGGACAAUGGGCGCAAGCCUGAUCCAGCCAUGCCGCGUGUGUGAAGAAGGCCUUCGGGUUGUAAAGCACUUUUGUCCGGAAAGAAAUCCCUGGAGCUAAUACCUUCGGGGGAUGACGGUACCGGAAGAAUAAGCACCGGCUAACUUCGUG